GCAAUCAGCAAGUAUACUGCCCUAGAAGUGCUACACAUUGUUGGGCCUGCCUCAUCUCCCUGGCUUGAGAGGCGGAUGGGGAUCCGGGCUGGGAUGCUGCCCUGGUGUCCUGUGUUGCACUGGAGCUUGGCGUGUCUGAGGGAGCUGAGGGCUAACGUGAGAAAUGCCACAGGGCGCUUGAUGAUGUGGUCGCUGCAUCAGAGAUUGGAUGAAGAAAAGACAAGAUAAACAUGUUGCAAGUUGCUUUGCUCUUUCCUUGUCCUUCCCACAUGCAUCUUCCUGAGAGUAAAAUACCAGCUAUUGUUAAUAACAUUGUAAAAAUACAGCAUAUUGGGAGAAGGGCCUGCUUUUAGGAGGAAUUCAUCUAAGCCUCAAUCUCAGGCUGGUAAUGACGAGCUAACUCUGCUUGGAACCUAGCAUGGGAGCAACUCACCUGAAGUCACUACUCCUGGGUGCUGGUCAGCAGCCAUGCAUUGCAAAUACAUGGAGUCGGGUGCCCAAAAACUUAGAUGAUCUUUCUGGGGAAUAAUUAAUUAGAUCUUAGUUAUGCAGUGACAUAUUACUUAGUCUGGAUAAGAGGGAGGCAAGGAGGAUUUAUGGAAAGGACAAAUCCUGCAAUAUGGGAUUGUUCUAAGGGAGGAAAUGCAAGAGCACCCGCCCUUGGAAGAAGGAAAGUCCUUGCCUAAUUCUUGUUUAAACUUCUAGUACUCACAUAGAGGAUAAGAGCUUACAUAAAUUUUGAUCAAACCAAGCUGCAUUUGUCUUUUCUCUAUGGCCUUCGUUGACUUGGCAUGAGCUGGGUGUUGGAAUCCAGGGACGCUGGAGCUCGAUCCCUCUUUAAAAGAAAUAGCUAUGGCUUUGGUUGCCCACAUUUCUGUAUGCCUUUUUUCUCCAGACAUGAACAUAAUUGCACCAAUUACAGGGACCCGCGAAACUUCAUGAACUGUCUAUAAUCAAGUUCUGCACUCAGAAGGUAACGGGUGGCCAGAAGGGAACACAGUGUCCUUCUGUUGCAAAUCUUCUGAAACUUCCUCUCUGCUGUUGCUGGAUAUCUGUCAUGAGAUGGAUGUUUUGAGCUAGUACAUCAGAUUUCCUGAUAAAAUAGUACUUUUCUAUGGCUUUUUUACUUUCAGAUUUCUUCCCCCUGUAACAGAGCCAAAGAUGACCAUGAGUUCCAUUUUUUUGGGGGGAGAAACAGGGAGCGUUAUAGGUAAUGAGAAUGGCCGAAAAAUAUCAUUGGAAGGUUGCCACAAAGAUAGCUACAGAGUGCCUCUGUGUAUUCUGUGUAAAUGCCCUUCCUAGUGCCCUUUCCAAAGUGCCACUACUCCAUACUUGAGUCUGAGCUGGGCGUUGGCUGAACAGAACCGACACAGCGACUGGAAUGUUGGGGUGACAAACACGUGGGGCCUGACCUGUCUCACUUAGAGUGUAAUUGCUGAGCAACUUCACCGGUGUUCAUGAAGUUGGUGAGUUUGAAUUCCAGGUUAUUCUUCAUAUGUUUCCUGUACAUAACUUUGCAGUUGUGCUUAAACCAGGAUGGCUAGUAGCGGCUAACCAUCCAGCUAGUGUCUGUAAAUAUGUGGGCACUGCAUGUACGGUGCUGUUAAAUGUGCUCUUUGCUACCUGGGAAGGAAGCGUGCCGCAGACAGCGUCGUUGAAUACCAAGUGGCGUUGUGGAGUUCUGCGUCGGGAACGUGGGAACGUAACCGCGGCCGACCCCUGAGUUGGAUGAAUGGUAGUGGCUGUGCCCCAGUCGUCCGGGACCUCAGCAGUCAGCACCCACGUGUAGAGGGAGAAUCGGUAAAUUGCCUAACAUGAAUAUUUUAUGCCUGCUUUAGAAGGAGGGUGAGGAGUAUGAUAUGGUGUUUUACAACCCAUUUUCAAGGUCGUAUUUGGAUUCUAGACUGUAGGUGUUGAGCGUCCUUGUGUCAAUGAAAGAAAUGGCCUCUUGGGCUCUGCACCCUUUCCCUUUAGCAUAAUUGCCUCUUUGCUGCUUCGCACUUCAUCUGUUUCAAAUAACUUGUGUAAAAUCACUUGAGGCUUCUAACUCAGUAACCAGGGAAGCUGACACGCUUCAUGACUUUUCCUACUUGAGGGUUUCAUUACUAGCUUUUAUAUUCCUGUCUCAUCUGUGUUAAAACUAUGGGCUGUAAGCAGACUUUUCUAUUGCAAAGUACAGUGUGUGCCUCCAAUUCAAUUUACGGUAAAAGCUACACCCCAAAAAUACUAUUUGGCCUAUUUUUGUACUACUAAAUAUAAGAGACGCAGUCCAUACAUUUUUAUUAUAGGUAAUGAGAAUGGCUAAAAAAUAGCAUUGAAAGAUGGCCAUGAAGAUGUCCACAAAGAGUGCCUCUUGGUAUUCCAUGCAAGUGCCCUUUCCCAAAGUGCCAUGGUUCCGUAUUUGAGUCUGAGCUGGGUGAUCCUAAGACCAGGCCUUAAAUGUAAUAUUUUUUUUGUUCAUGGCAUACUCUGUUUCAUUGUGAAUGUACAAUAUUAAUACCUUUAUUUUCCUCCAUGCAGCCACAGCAUGAAGGAAUAUCCCAUAUUAAUCUCCUAAUUUAAAUUUGAAAUGAAAAAUGAUCGCAACACUCGGAGCAUACUUUAACUCACUGAUUGUGCUGGCUUGAUUCCAGCAGUGUAACUAAUUACAUUCUGCCUGCAAAAAAAAUUCUCAUUGCUCGUGGCUUUUUUGAGAGUUGCUGGCUUGAAUUCUUGUGUGAUCUCUGCAGCCUGACUCCACAUUUUUUAUGCUAAUGGAAAAUUGCUUAAAAUGACUAAGCAUCUCUCCCUGAUUAAAGAAAAGCCAUUGGGCUUGCUAAACAGAUCCAGAAUACUGCUCUGAUGGUAAGUGAUGGGUGUGUCCUGUUUCACAGUCGUGUACCCACACGCUGCUGUGAGGUGCUAGUGCUCUGGAGGUGGAACACGAAAGACUGCAUAAACCCCGGCUCAUCUUGGUGCAGCAGGUUUCCCCCUGUUGUCAUUGGUUGCCCCAGGGCCAUUCUUCUCUCCCAACGCUGAGCCUGCCCACAGUCGAAGAUUUGUUACUCUAACAGUUGCCUGCCAUGCUGGUUUGGUUAAAGGAGAUAAGGGGACUGCAUGUUUCAGUCUCUUGAGAACCACUGGGAGCCAGGCUGGAGCAACAGCUAACAUGUCAAAGUUAGUACUCGGACACCAGAGGCAGACCUGCCUGUCUUGGAGGGAAUACUGCUACGGUACUGUUGAACAACAGAAGGAUGGGAAGCAGGAGGAUGGUGGGCGUUAAUCUAGAAGUAGCGGGAGCAGAGAAAGCCACAGUAUUUGGUCUUGCAUAAUCAAGAUAAAAUAGGAAUUCAUAUAGCAUUUGUUAAUUCCAGAGGACCUAGAAUGAAUUUAAACUAACCAGUUACAAAACUGUGAGACUUUGCUUUGUAGUUUCCUACACAAGGACGGGCAGGGAAAACAGUACAUAGUGGUGUUAUCUCCAAAUUACAGGAUUGGCUCUAUGUACUUCUAUGCAUAUUUAAAAUGCUGUUUCCAGAAAAUCUGUUCUCUGUAUGUGAAAUGGCCUCACGCCGUGCCAAACUUCCAGCAUGACUCUUCACAUGUGCAUGUCACAUUCCUCCUAGUUGACUUGGUAGUACCUCGUUGUAUGUAUUAGAACUGUCUUGACCCCAGUGUUUGCCAAAUAAAACUUUUCAAAUAUCUCAAAACUCUUUUUCUGAGAAGAAAAGCAACAUAAGAGUUGGCUACCAUGUCUGCACCUAUUUAGCUGACUGCCUUGUUGCUUAGUGUUCUUAGUAGGUAUGAAGCGAAUGUCUUUCCUUGUGGGUUUUUUGCCUGAUUCUUCUAAAUCUAUUUGAAGAAGUUGUUUUCUGGAGGGGGUGGCUACUGAGAAAUUCUUAGGAAGACUGUUCGUGAUCAUUCGGGAAUUUCUUGAGCAGCCCCAAUGUCUUUCAUUAAAGAUAUAUCAAAAGCUGUCUGUAUUAGUGUCCAAAAUGGAAUAGAUGGGGUUAAUAAAGUCAAGGAUUAGGUCCUUAAUCUGUGCCAGGACUGCUAGAAAUGUAGAUUCUUUUUUUUGUCACAUGCUAGAAAAGGCAACAAAGGACAAACAUGAGGAUUUUCUCCCUCAGAAGCCUUCUCUUAACCAUGCUUCCCUGGCUUGCUUUCAGCUGAUGCAGUGAACCUAAGGAUCAGGUGAUGACUUAAAAAAAUGGUCCUGUUCUGGAAACGAAGAGCUCGGGCACUGGUAAAACUGUUGGCUAGCGGCUUUUAUUGUGUUACGAUUCCAGAGUUAGGUUUAUGUUUCCAGAGAACAGCUUUGUUAACUCUUGGCUAGAUGUUCCCAUAUAUACAUCGUGUCUUGUGUGGGCAUAGCCAGGCUAUGCGGGUCUGUCAGCGAAAGGUUACGUGGCUGUGUGUUCCUCUGAGAAGGUGGGUGAGAGCUGGGUGUCUUACUGCUCCCAGGCUGAGCCCUGAGAGGCUAAUGAGUACAAGAAGUCAGUACAAGUAGUGACUUUCUUGACAGGAACUGCAUGGUGAUUUGAAAACUACAACUUUAAAGGGCUUCUGCCAAACGGAGCCUCUAAUGGCUGAUUUUAAUUUUUUUCCUGGUAAUUUCAGUACACAUCUACUUUUUUUAAAUGGGUGCAGUGAAACUGGUCUCUACUUUUUUUCCAGGCUCCUACCUGAAAUGACUUCUGUCCAAGCUGUGGGCAUGAUGCAGGGAUGGCGAGAGGUGACCAAGAUUCCAUGGGACAGAAGGUAGGAAUGUGAAUCUGGGCAGAGACAGCUGCGCUGCUGCCCUGCAAUUUGAAGGUAACAAUAUCAGGAUUACAGGAGUGCCACAGAGGUGCUGGGGGCUGGAUGUCUUGCGCACGCAGAUGUGAAGAAAAUGAAAGGUAGUGGGAAUCUUUAAGAAGUUACCUGCCUCUUACUUUACUCAGUUUUGAAGCACUAAUUCUUUAUGCAUGCCCUUCUGUGGGAUGAUGACUUGUGUGUAAAUUUUCCGUAUUCUUAUUUUUAGAAAGUAGGGAGAGAUCCAGCAGAAGAUCCUAUGCCUGUCCUUAUUCCUUUCUGAUUGCUAAGGGAAAGAUACAACUUUCAGAAAAUUGAGACAAAACCAGAAUUUUCAUUUCCACUAACUUCUUGUGAUUCAGAUAUUCCCUUCUUUCCAGUUCUUAAAAAGAAGAAAAUAGUUUUUCAGGUCAUGGUAAGUUAUGAAAAUAAAUAGCUAUCCUGCAAGACUUAAGCUGUGCUGUAGAGCUACAUCUGUCACCCCAAAAUAAAAGCAACACUCAAAAGCCAGGAUAUUUGAUGAAGUGGCUUGUCUGAAUGCUUGUGAGGAUGUUGGUGAUAAGCGGGUGAGUGUUUUGUGCUACAAAAGUGGGGAAAGGGAAACCAAAGAACAAGGAAGAAGCCAAGAAUGUGUAAAAGCAGCAGCUGGGAAGGCAGCCUUGACAAAGUUUUGUCACGUGGGGUUUUUUGGGGGUCAGAAGGUAGCUAAAGAAAGCCUGGAAUAAUGAUCAGUUGAAAAAAAGCUAUUAGUGUCAGAUGGUGUUCAGGGGAAAUGUAAGUGGCGGCAACUUCCUUCUCCCAUAAAGACUAUGCAGAGGGCAUCACGCUCCAAGAUAAACUUCUGCUUUGAAGACUGGGUGGUAAAGGUCAAAGAGGUCCAUAGAAGAUCAUGUUUCUAAGAUAAAUAACUUUUACAGAGCAAAUGACAGAUGCAUCAAGGUGACCCAGAAGCAGCACACCAAGCCUGGGUCUAGCUGGAGAUUUAAUAAAGAGAAUUUUUUUAAAGCUCUGAAGUUCUAUCUAUCAACUUCUUGGACAGUGUUAGUGUGACUUGUCCUUGGAGGUGAAUCUCUGGAGCAGAAGCUGCAUUUGGAUAGCAUGGGGCAGGCGGCUGUAAGAUGGUUCAUUUGUGGGGGUGCUCUGUAUGCUGACCCAUGUGGCCCCUUCUUGUGCUGUUGCAAAACUGAUUUAAAUCCAUCUGAUAAAAAGCUCUUAAGACUUCCUCCAGAGCUGGCACCCAAUCCUAGGUAGCCAAGGCAUAGCUGAACGUCGGUGAAAAGCUCUUUGGGAGCUGGCAGAGCGGGUGCGAAGGCUGAGCCUGACACACUCAUGUAUCCCCAAGGACUUCUGGGAUUCAUUAGAAAAUUGGAUUUGAACUUAGGAGUCAAAACCAGGUGCAGAUAAUUAAAAGCAUAGGGGGGUGGUGGAACUGGCUGCAGGUUUUGAAUACAGCUGUGCAGCAGGGUGGUGGAAGAAGAAACUGCUGCAGUGGAAAAGUGGGAAAACCUGCUCUUAAAAACAUGUAAGCAGUAGUGGCCCUCUUAAACUUCUGAGGGGAAAGUGGGUUUUGUUUUUAAAAAGUGCUUUUUUUUUUUUUUUGCAGUAAAAUGGCAAAAGUGCAAAAAUAGUGUUCAAUUAAAUACUAGUUUUAUCCUGAAAAACUUAGUUGUAAAAUGGUGUGUUCUAAAUACAAGACUGGUCAAAAGAAGUGAUUUAAAACGUCGAGAAGAACGCCUUCUCAAUUUGGAAGUCAGGAAUGUAAAACUGAAAGGACACUGUGGCCAAAAGUAAUAUGCAAACACUGAGUAAUCUGCAGGUUUUUAAGAUAUUUCUGUCAGAUGUGUUUUCUAGGGUGUGUUAGAUGGCUUCAGGGUGCUGAGGGAAGCUUGCGGAGGUGGGGAUAAGGCACCACCUGGUUUUACAGGUGAGAAUAAACCUUGUUGAAAAUUGUGAGCUUAGCAGGGAUCCUUCAUGGCUAGGUAGCUAGGAAAUGGUUACGCUGUUGGAGAGAACAAGGCAUCUGAAACAGUAACCAUCUCCUUUGGACACUGAGCACACCCCUAUCCACAUCAAAGGUGUAAGGUGGAAGCCAGUGAAGUAUCAGGGAAGCGAGAAGCGAACAAGGACAUGCUUUCAACUUUCUUUACCAACAGAAAUGUAAAAAUCUGUUCAUGUAAAAUGUUAAACAUGUAAAAUUAUGUUUAACAGCAACAAUGCUGUAUCGUGUCUGCUUAUAGUUUUCUGCUUCACAGGCUGCAGGAUGCUGCAAGAGGCAGUGCUGCCGGGUUUCAGAGUAAAGAGUGUGGAAGGUAAAGAUAACCUUGGUGCUGCCUCGGGAGGGUGAGGGAACCGGGGGGAGGAUUGCCGGCCUGAUAACCUCUGAUCCCGCGUCUCUGAGCACGUACGCUUCCAACUGGGCCCCUGCGAGUGUUCUCUGCAGUACUUGUGUAUAAAUAGUUCUGUCUUGGAGAAGGGUGGGAGAGUUGCGUCCUUGGGGGAAGAAGGGUAUCAAGUAUGGCUUUCAGGAGAUGAUAGUAAAAAAGAAAAAAAGGCAUUUCUUUCUGAAUCGGUUCCUUCUGUUACAUUGCACUGGGCAGGCACGGCGGGUUUGGGGUUUUUUGUUCGGUUUGGGUUUUUUAAUUUUUGUGGUUUUUUGGGGCUGGUUGGUUUGUUCGGUUUGCUUUUUCUUGUUUUUCUUUUCGUUUAUUUGAAGAAAAGAGAUGGUUUCUGGGCUCUGGGGACGCAGCAGCUUCUCGCCAAGCGUCCCGUCGAACCCCAGCCGGCUGCAGGGAUUUCCCUCGGGGGCGCGCCCGGGGGCGCGGGGGGGCCGGGCCGGGCCGCUCCCCCGUGACGGGCGGGGGCGGGCCGGGUCCCCGCAGCCCCGCACCGCCCCGCACCGCCCCGGGGCUGCCGACCGGCGCCGGCUCCCGCGGCUCCCCCGCCCCGCCUCGCUCCUCGCCUUUCUCACUCACCCCUUCCUCUUCCUCCCUCCCCGCCCCGCCAGCUCUCCCGUCCCGUCCCGUCCUCUCCCCAGCGCGGCUGGGUGUUUGCCUCCCCUCCCGGCUUCCUCUCCCUCCUCCUCCUCCUCCUCCUCCUCCUCCUCCCGCUGCCGCCGCCGCCCGGCCGCUCCCGGCUCCGCCGCCGCCUCCCGGUGCCCUGCCGCGGUGUCCGGCAUGCCCGAGCCUUUGCCCCCCACGGAGCUGUACGCCUCGGAGCGGGCCGUCGUGCUGGUCUCCUGUGUGCUCUCCUUCCUGGGCUCCAGCCUCCUGGUUUGCACCCAUGCCCUGUGGCCGGAGCUGCGGACCCGUCCCCGCCAGCUCCUGCUCUACCUGUCGCUGGCGGACCUCCUCUCAGCCCUCUCCUACUUCUACGGGGUGCUACAGGACUUCGACAGGACCUCGUGGGACUGCGUGCUGCAGGGUGCCCUGUCCACCUUCUCCAACACCAGCUCCUUCUUCUGGACCAUGGCCAUUGCCCUCUACCUCUAUAUCACCAUUGUGAGGGGCUCGCCCACGGGCGCGGGCUUGCUCUGCUGCUUCCACGUCGUGAGCUGGGGAGUCCCCCUUGGCAUUACGGUGGCUGCUGUCGCACUGAAGAAGAUUGGCUAUGAUGCCUCCAAUGUUUCUGUGGGCUGGUGUUGGGUCAACUUGGAUGCAGAGGAUCGGGUCUUGUGGAUGUUGUUAACAGGGAAAGUUUGGGAGAUACUGGCCUAUGUGACUUUGCCGGUGCUCUACAUUCUCAUCAAGAAGCACAUUAAUAGAGCGCACGCAGCGCUCUCAGAGUAUCGCCCCAUUCUCUCAAGAGCACCUGCAUUUCAGCCCCGGACUUCCAUAGCAGAUAAGAAGUUGAUUCUCAUCCCUGUCAUCUUUAUCAUCCUCCGCAUCUGGAGCACUGUGCGAUUCAUUCUGACCCUCUGUAACUCCCCUGCAGUGCAAAAUUCAGUCCUGGUUGUCCUGCAUGGAAUUGGUAACACUUUCCAAGGAGGUGCCAACUGUAUUAUGUUUGUCCUCUGUACGCGGGCGGUCCGGACUCGGCUGUUCUCCUCCAUUUGCUGUUGCCACUAUGACGAGUUGGGCUGGUCAUUGCAAAGAUCUAACAGCUAUCGGCAGCAGCCAGAAACCCACAAGAACAAGGACGUUCCAGGCCCUGAGCAGACGAAACCCCAGCUUUCCAGCACCUGAGCCUGGGCUGCUUACAUCUCGGUGUUGAUUUCUUCUUUCCUGGUAAAGAUCUAGCGUGCCGGGAUCAUCCCAGAGUCCCACAGAGGGAGCUAAAGCCUGGGGAAAAGCACCGCUGGAGUGGCUGAGCAAAUGGAAGAAGUCCCGCUCCUCCUCAGCAUUCAGAUACCAGCUGCUUUGGUUUUGAACUUGCUCAGGAUCCGCUAGAAGAUACUGUUUGGCUGUACUCCAACUUCCUGGUUUUGUUCCCUCCUUCCCUUCUCCCUCCACUAUAAAUCUUAAAAAUUGUUUGGGGUUUUGCUUUUCUGUCUGAAAAGACAAACGUGUUCUGAGGUGAACAAAUAUCAUGGUGAUAGGAAAACUUUAGUACCUGCUGCAUAGGACUAUCCUGGGCACGGACUUGAGCCCUAGUGUGUGAGGUUUUCCAGGGGGCUCCACACUUGCUCCUGUUCUUCACUUGAAUGUGGACAGUACCAUGCAAACAUGCUUGUUCUGUGGCGGUGAUGGAUGGUUCCUCUUGAUGGUUUAUCCUUCCUCCUUGGUGGUUAGGGGUUGUCAUCAUCAGGGUUUGUCGUGGCAGCAUGCGUAACUGUCUCCUGGGGAAAUCUGAACUCUGCAGGCUGCCCCGGUGCUCAGGGAUACCUGGAUCUGUCACCCCAGCCUCCGGCAAGGACAGCCCUCACCAGCAGCAAGACGAUGCCUGGCAUGUCCUCUGAACUCCAGAAGACCUCUGCCAAAGCUACCGUCUGUUCUUGCUUUGGGAGUGUUAUAUCAGAGCUGGGGAGGGGAUGGUUUUCGUUUGUUAUUUGGAGGUAGCGUUUUGCCUUAUCUCAGCUCCUCACUUUCUUGGUUUUUAAAUGUUUUCUCCAACUUUUACAAAAUAAAGGUUUGUUUCUUUACCAA